UUUAAAGUGUAUAUUUAAUUUAUAUUUGUUGAUUUAAGGAUUUUAAAUUUUUUAAGAAAAUAAACAGUCGCUAUAGGCAACGCCAAUGCGUCCAUUUUUAAUUAUUUAUCUAUUUGUAAUUAGAAUUACUCUAAUUACACGGGAUCAUUAUGGUCGGAAAUACCCUGGCAAGCGCCUGUCAGAAUUUUCGGUUUCGUUUUCCGUCACCCCUUUUUUGCAUUUUUAUUCAAUUGUAGAACAUGACAAGUGGUGUUUGGAACAUUUUCAACCUUAAAUAUAAAAAACCUAUAGCAUAAACACAUUAGAAAGCCAGCCCAGCAGCCACCGGAGAAGGCCUUGCCCCACUGAUGGCACUUGCAUGUUAAAAAGAACGCAAA